GAGACGAACCGACCAUCAUCUUUCCCUCGUGCUUGGAUUGAAGGGAGCUCCUCUCUCUCUCUCUCUCUUAUUUCCAUAAUUUAUAUAUUGUUUGUAGAUAGUUUAUCUUUCUUUCUAUCUCUUGUUUGCAGAGAUAUACAUGGAGAUGCCAAGCGCAUGGAAGUUUGACAACGGAUAAUUCAGUAUAACUGUGUGUAUAUAUCCGGAUUAUUCAAGACAAGAUUGCGGAUCUGAUGUAUCUUUUAUCGUUUCAAAAAUUUGGACAUAUGUAUAUAUAUAUAUAACCUAUUCCCCUUUUAGACAAGUCUUUGUAAUUUCUUUUUCUUUGGACAUUUUGAUAGCUUUCCUCAAACAUUUUUGCUUGAAGCAACUUACUGAACCAUGCACGAUUUAAUAUAAUUGCAUAAAGCAUUUUGA
rnacentral:precursor_RNA from 1 species